GAUGAACGCUGGCGGCGUGCUUAAUACAUGCAAGUCGAACGGAGAUCUUUGUAGUAAUACGGAGUUUCUCAGUGGCGAACGGGUGAGUAACGCGUUGGUGACCUGCCCCGAAGUGUGGGAUAACAGUCCGAAAGGAUUGCUAAUACCGGAUGUGCUCGUGCUGGUUAGAGUAGUGCGAGUAAAGGAGUAAUUCGCUUCGGGAGGGGCCUGCGUCCCAUCAGCUAGUUGGUAAGGUAACGGCUUACCAAGGCGGUGACGGGUAGGGGACCUGAGAGGGUGGCCCCCCACAAUGGAACUGAAACACGGUCCAUACACCUACGGGUGGCAG
rnacentral:rRNA from 1 species